rnacentral:rRNA from 1 species
AGAGUUUGAUCAUGGCUCAGAACGUACGCUGGCGGCACGCCUAACACAUGCAAGUCGAACGAAGUAGCAAUACUUAGUGGCAGACGGGUGAGUAACAUGUAGGUAUCUACCCUUUGGCCUGGAAUAACACGAGGAAACUUGUGCUAAUACCGGAUAAGUCUUUACGGAGAAAGCUUUAUGCACCAUUGGAUGAGCCUGCACUUGAUUAGUUUGUUGGUGGGGUAAUGGCCUACCAAGACUGUGAUCAAUAGCUGAUUUGAGAGGAUGAUCAGCCACAUUGGGACUGAGACACGGCCCAAACUCCUACGGGAGGCAGCAGUGGGGAAUCUUGCACAAUGGAGGAAACUCUGAUGCAGCGAUGCCGCGUGAGUGAAGAAGGCCUUUGGGUUGUAAAGCUCUUUCGUCGGGGAAGAAAAUGACUGUACCCGAAUAAGAAGGUCCGGCUAACUUCGUGCCAGCAGCCGCGGUAAUACGAAGGGACCUAGCGUAGUUCGGAAUUACUGGGCUUAAAGAGUUCGUAGGUGGUUGAAAAAGUUAGUGGUGAAAUCCCAGAGCUUAACUCUGGAACUGCCAUUAAAACUUUUCAGCUAGAGUAUGAUAGAGGAAAGCAGAAUUUCUAGUGUAGAGGUGAAAUUCGUAGAUAUUAGAAAGAAUACCAAUUGCGAAGGCAGCUUUCUGGAUCAUUACUGACACUGAGGAACGAAAGCAUGGGUAGCGAAGAGGAUUAGAUACCCUCGUAGUCCAUGCCGUAAACGAUGUGUGUUAGACGU